GGAGGUGUGGUUCAGUGGUAGAGCACUUGCCUAGCAUGUGCAGGGUCCUGGGUUCAAUCCCCACCACCA
rnacentral:tRNA from 1 species